GGGAGUAGCUCAGCGGUAGAGCAUCACCUUGCCAAGGUGAGGGUCGCGGGUUCAAUCCCCGUCUCC
rnacentral:tRNA from 1 species